rnacentral:sRNA from 1 species
GCUGGGUGCGGUGGCACAUGCCUGUAAUUCCAGCGACUCAGGAGGCUGAGACAGUAGGAUUGCGAGUUCAAAGUCAGCCUCAGCAAAAGCGAGCUGCUAAGCAAUUCAGCAAGACCCUGUCUCUA